rnacentral:rRNA from 1 species
UACGAAGGGUGCUAGCGUUGCUCGGAAUCACUGGGCGUAAAGGGUGCGUAGGCGGGUUUUUAAGUCAGGGGUGAAAUCCUGGAGCUCAACUCCAGAACUGCCUUUGAUACUGAAGAUCUUGAGUUCGGGAGAGGUGAGUGGAACUGCGAGUGUAGAGGUGAAAUUCGUAGAUAUUCGGAGGAACACCAGUGGCGAAGGCGGCUCACUGGCUCGGUACUGACGCUGAGGUGCGAAAGCGUGGGGAGCAAACAGG